rnacentral:rRNA from 1 species
AGUACCCGCUGAACUUAAGCAUAUCAAUAAGCGGAGGAAAAUAAACCAACUGGGAUUGCCUUAGUAACUGCGAGUGAAGCGGCAAAAGCUCAAAUUUGAAAUCUGGCGUAAGCCCGAGUUGUAAUUUGAAGAGGAUGCAUCUGCAACGAGUGCUGGCUCAAGUUUCUUGGAACGGAGCGUCAUAGAGGGUGAGAACCCCGUAGUUAGCUAGAUACUCUGUUGCUUAUGUUGCUCCUUCGAAGAGUCGAGUUGUUUGGGAAUGCAGCUCUAAGUGGGAGGUAAAUUUCUUCUAAGGCUAAAUAUCGGCCGGAGACCGAUAGCGAACAAGUAGAGUGAUCGAAAGAUGAAAAGCACUUUGAAAAGAGGGUUAAAUAGUACGUGAAAUUGUUGAAAGGGAAGCGUUUGCAGUCAGACUUGCUUUCGAUGAACAAGGUUUCUUUGCGAAGCUUUUAUUCAGUUGUGAGCAGGCCAGCAUCAGUUUGAGCGGUAGGAAAAAGGUGUGGAAAAUGUAGCUUGCUUUGCAAGUGUUAUAGUUCCUGCGUCAUACUACCAGUUUGGACUGAGGAUAGCGUCUUUGACUAGGAUGCUGGCGUAAUGGCUGUAAACGACCCGUCUUGAAACACGGACCAAGGAGUCUAACAUCUGCGCGAGUGUUUGGGUGUCAAGCUCGCACGCGUAAUGGAAGUGAACGAAGGUGGGAAUCCCGUCAAACGGAUGCACCAUCGACCGAUCCUGAUGUUUUCGGAUGGAUUUGAGUAAGAGCGCAGCUGUUAGGACCCGAAAGAUGGUGAACUAUGCCUGUGUAGGCUGAAGCCAGAGGAAACUCUGGUGGAAGGUCGCAGCGGUUCUGACGUGCAAAUCGAUCGUCAAACAUGGGUAUAGGGGCGAAAGACUAAUCGAACCAUCUAGUAGCUGGUUCACGCCGAAGUUUCCCUCAGGA